rnacentral:lncRNA from 1 species
AUGGUGAGCUUUGAAUUAAUCAGAGCUGAAUUAAUCUCUUUCCCAUCACCUGCUGGCGUUGUGCCCCAGGCAGCAGCUUCAUCUCUCAGAGCCUUAGUUUCCUCAUCUCAAAAGAGGAACGCAAAUACCUGUCUUAGUGCUGUGAGAAUCAAAUACAGGGAAGCAUCGCACCCGGCGCCUGGGAUGCAGGAAACAACUGUAAGAGUUUUCAUCAGUGGUAUUUCAGGUCGGUGUGGCCGCAUGGCUGCUAGGGAGACUGCCCCAUGUCAUGGUGGAGACCAUCCUCCUGGAAGGGUGAGCUUCAUGAGAGCAAUGUGGCUUCAGAGGCUGGCAAGAGAUAGAAUUCACACAAACCACAGGAAGAAUGAAGAGUCCGGAGCAGGAGAACGUGGAGCAGGAAGGAGCAGGACCAAAGGCUGGCGCUUAGUGUGUAAAGCUAGAAUGCAGCUGGGACGGAGGCUCCUGGGAGCACAGAAGCCGCUUCAACUCAAAACACCUGAGGAAAUACAUAUCAAGCAGCUGCUAAAUAUGCUGUUCUCUGCUGGUUGCUGCCAAAACACUGACCAGAGUGGCUCCUGUGUGUGUGGUACCUCCCCUGCCCAGGCCUGGCGCUGGCCGCUGAACACACGACUUUAUCUCAGCCCCAUGACAAUGCUGGACGUGCAAGAUGCUGUGAUUCCCGUCACACCAAGGAAAUGGGCACAGACUGGGGAGUGCCUUGCCCAGGGCCACCAGCAGGAAGAGGAGGAGCUGGGGUGUCACACCCAGGCAGCUAGUUCCAAAGUUCCUGCUCUUAAUGACUGCACUGUGGUGUCUCAGACCACAGCAGGUGAGAGCCAAGCCGCACAACCCCCACCACAGGGGUCAACAGCAACGGGGGGAAAGAGACUGCAGCAGCACUGUGGCUCAUCAGUGGGGUCACAGGAACCAAAGCAGUGGUGUUCCUGGGAACCUGGGAACUGUUCCUGGGAACUGUGGCUGGAAAGGGAUGUGGGACCUGGGGCCAUAGAAACCUCCAUCGUGCCGGCUCCCGAGGCCCCCAGAGUGAUGGGGAACGUUCUCUCAGACCUCCUGGCCACACUGUGUGCGUGUGUCCAUGCUCUAAGCUGGCCUGUGACAUCAGUAACACCCCCUCUGACCACCACUAGACAGGCCUGUACCCCGCUGCACUGUCCCGGAGCCAUGCUCCCAGGCUCUGCUGCACAGCCUCAGCCUGCAGCUCCUGCUGGGUCUGCCAUUGAGGACGGGAGCUGA